rnacentral:rRNA from 1 species
GACGAACGCUGGCGGCGUGCUUAACACAUGCAAGUCGAGCGGUAAGGCCCUUUCGGGGGUACACGAGCGGCGAACGGGUGAGUAACACGUGGGUGACCUGCCCUCAGCUCUGGGAUAAGCCCGGGAAACUGGGUCUAAUACUGGAUAUGACUCCAUGACGCAUGUUGUGGGGUGGAAAGCCUUGUGCGGCUGAGGAUGGGCCCGCGGCCUAUCAGCUUGUUGGUGGGGGGAUGGCCUACCAAGGCGACGACGGGUAGCCGGCCUGAGGAGGGCGGACCGGCCACACGUGGGACUGAGACACCGGCCCAGACUCCGUACGGGAGGCAGCAGGUGGGGAAUCUUGCGCAAGUGGGACGAAAGCCUGACGCAGCGACGCCGCGU